CCCUUAGAUGUUCUGGGCCGCACGCGCGCUACACUGAUGCAUUCAACGAGCCUAUCCUUGACCGACAGGUCCGGGUAAUCUUUGAAUCUGCAUCGUGACGGGGAUAGAUUAUUGCAAUUAUUAAUCUUCAACGAGGAAUGCCUAGUAGGCGCAAGUCAUCAGCUUGCGUCGAUUACGUCCCUGCCCUUUGUACACUCCGCCCGUCGCUCCUACCGAUUGGGUGUGCUGGUGAAAUGUUCGGAUCGGCCGUUUGUCGCGGUUUCCGCGUCAUGUGGCUGAGAAGUUCAUUAAACCCUCCCACCUAGAGGAAGGAGAAGUCGUAACA
rnacentral:rRNA from 1 species